CCCUUAGAUGUCCGGGGUUGCACGCGCGCUACACUGAAGGAAUCAGCGUGCUAAAACCAUUGUCGAAAGGCAUUGGUAAACCCAUUAAAAUCCUACGUGAUUGGGAUCGGGAAUUGCAAUUAUUUCCCUUGAACGAGGAAUUCCCAGUAAGUGUGGGUCAUAAGCUCGCGUUGAUUACGUCCCUGCCCUUUGUACACACCGCCCGUCGCUGCCCGGGACUGAGCCGUUUCGAGAAAAGCGGGGACUGCUGCUGUCGGGGCUUUCGGGCCUUGGCUUCGGUGGAAACCGCUUUAAUCGCAGUGGCUUGAACCGGGCAAAAGUCGUANCA
rnacentral:rRNA from 1 species